rnacentral:rRNA from 1 species
AGCUAAAAAGAUAGCCUUAUUAUCCCCUAAUGCAUCAACCUUCUUAUAUAAUUCAAUUAAAACAUUUUUUUGACCUAGUAAAGGAGAUUAAAAAGUUUCUUAGAGCUAUAAUAAUAGUACCGCAAGGGAAAUAUGAAAUAAAAAUGAAAUAAAACUUAAGCAAUAAAAAGUAAAGUUCAGCCCUUGUACCUUUUGCAUCAUGGUUCAACUAGUCUAAUCAAGCGAAAAGAAUUAAAGUUUGACCCCCCGAAACUAAGUGAGCUACUUCAAGGCAGCUUAAUGAGCCAACCCGUCUCUGUUGCAAAAGAGUGGGAUGACCUUCAAGUAGAGGUGAUAGACCUAACGAACUCAGUGAUAGCUGGUUAUUCAGGAAAAGAAUGUUAGUUCAACUUAAAAUUACAUAAAUAAUCAAAAAUUAAUCUAUAAUUUUAAAGCAAUUCAAAUAAGGUACAGCCUGUUUGAACUAGGAUACAACCUCUUCUAAUGGGUAAUUUAAUACUAAAAAUAAUUAAGUAGGCCUAAAAGCAGCCAUCUUUAAAAUAGCGUCAAAGCUUAUUUAUUUAUCUUAACUAAUAACAUUAUUUUAUAUUAACCCUUUUCUACUACUGAGUAAUUUUAUAACAUUAUAAAAAUUUUUCAUGUUGAAACUAGUAACAAGAAGUUAAACUUCUCUUUAACGUAAGUAUAACUCGGACAGGAUAAACCACCGACAAUUAACACACCGAACUAAAAAUAGUAACUUCACAUGAAAACCCUAUUAUACCCUAUGUUAAUCUUACACUAGAACAUUUAAAGAAAGAUUCUAAAAAAAGGAAGGAACUCGGCAAACAUUAACCUCGCCUGUUUACCAAAAACAUCGCCUUCUGAUUCACAAUAGAAGGUCCAGCCUGCCCAGUGAACUAAUUCAACGGCCGCGGUAUCCUAACCGUGCGAAGGUAGCGUAAUCACUUGUUCUUUAAAUGAGGACUAGUAUGAAUGGCACCACGAGGGUUAUACUGUCUCCCUUUUUUAAUCAGUUAAACUAAUCUCCCCGUGAAGAAGCGGGGAUAAAUAUAUAAGACGAGAAGACCCUAUGGAGCUUUAAAUUACGCAACAAUUGUUAUAUCUUUAUAAUUUUAAGAAUAAUUUCAUAUUUAAACACUAUGAUUGCUAAUUUUUGGUUGGGGUGACCGCGGAGCAUAAAAUAACCUCCACAAUGAAAGAACCUCUUCUUUUAAACUAAGAACUACAACUCUAAGUAUUAAUAAUUUAACAUUCUUUGAUCCAAUCUAUUGAUCAACGAACAAAGUUACCCUAGGGAUAACAGCGCAAUCCACUUCAAGAGCUCCUAUCGACAAGUGGGUUUACGACCUCGAUGUUGGAUCAGGGUGUCCCAGUGGUGUA